ensembl:lncRNA
AGGAGAUUAAGAUCAAUGAAUCAGAUGAUUUAUUAAAUCAACUCAACAUAAAAGCAAAUCAAAAAGGUUUAAAAAACAAACAAAUCAAAUGUGACAUGAUAUUUGAAAUCUUUGUAUACAGCUUUCUAUGUGUUGUCAAUGCACACCCCAGUUUUAAGAGUCCUUGAUUCUAAGUUAUAAGACAUUUAGUCCGUUUUGAACCAAAAUCUUAAAUCAAUAAGAUGACCUGAAAGAACUCAGUGGAUAUAAGCAAAAUUUUAAUAGACUGUUAAUAUGACCCCACUCUACAUACUUUCAGAAAUCAUAGAAAGUUUUUAAAGCUAUCAUGUUUACAAACAGACUGACGUGCAUUCAAAUGCUACCAAAAACAUCGUCUCUGUCAAUGGAAAAUUGUACUUAGUAGUCAGUAUAAGCUUUUAAUGAUAUAAGUUUGCAUAUGAUAGAAUACUGUAUGUUGACCUCUGAUGACUUAGACUGUUGUCCACUACAAGACUGUUUUAUAAAUUCUUUCUCACAGCGAUAAUAGCUGAACAAGCAGGAAGAGGAGAGCUGGACACUUUUAUCUGCGCUCUCUAACAAGAAGAAGGGCCGCGUCCUUCUGAAUCUCACAACACACACGCAUACAUCUGAACCACUCUUAUCUUCACUCCCUACGCACUAACAUUCCUCUGCCUAUGAAUAGACGUAUUCACUGUUGUAUUACUUUUGUAUAUAAAUAAAGACAAGUGCAAGAACAGAGCGCGCAUCACAGGGCCCCCACUCUGGUGUGAGCGUUCUGUGAUCGCCCUUGUAUACAAGUAAAUGCUGCAGCGUCUGUGUGUGUUUCUACCCUUAGACUCUUAGCUGAAGAAGUGUCUUUAGAAUAAAUCUCUUGACAUUUAUUUUGGUCCUUCGUAGCCGGGGCAGAAACAUCAGAACUGUUAUCUGUGACUCUGUUCCAGGAUCCAGUACUGAUUCCUGACGCCGUGGGAAGCCAGCACCGAAGUCUGUGCACAGCCCUCUUAAACGAGGCCGAAAGCCCUGGGACGUGUGAAUUCGGGUCCAGGCCGGUGUUUUUAGUCUGGUCCACGGCGGUGGGAUUCAGUCUGGCGAUCCGAAUCACCAGUGAGACGUCUGAGGGUGAGAAACACUAUUUUGGUUAGGAAUCGCCGUAAUGAACCGACAAAUAAAAUAGGUUAGGAAUCGCCGUAAUGAACCGACAAAUGAAAUAGGUUAGGAAUCGCCGUAAUGAACCGAAUAACAAACAAAAUAGAAA